UCUCCGUAGGUGAACCUGCGGAGGGAUCAUUACUGAGUGAGGGUCUCCGGGCCCGACCUCCAACCCUUUUGUGAACCACCUCGUUGCUUCGGGGGCGACCCUGCCGUUCGCGGCGUGGGGCCCCCGGAGGACUUCCAACCCUGCAUCAUUGCGUCGGAGUAUUUUUUGUAAAUCUAAACAAAACUUUCAACAACGGAUCUCUUGGUUCUGGCAUCGAUGAAGAACGCAGC
rnacentral:misc_RNA from 1 species